rnacentral:rRNA from 1 species
UACGUAGGGGGCAAGCGUUGUCCGGAAUCAUUGGGCGUAAAGAGCGUGUAGGCGGCCAGGUAGGUCUGCUGUGAAAACUCGAGGCUCAACCUCGAGACGUCGGCGGAAACCAUCUGGCUAGAGUCCGGAAGAGGAGAGUGGAAUUCCUGGUGUGAGCGGUGAAAUGCGCAGAUAUCAGGAAGAACACCAAUGGCGAAAGCAGCUCUCUGGGACGGUACUGACGCUGAGACGCGAAAGCGUGGGGAGCAAACAAGG